AAAAAGAUAAGCUAAAUAAGCUAUCGGGUUCAUACCUCGUUUAUGAAUAAACUCUCUUUUUA
rnacentral:tRNA from 1 species